CUAGUCUCGGCCUGUCGCCACCCAUUGGCGGCACGGUUUUGACAGACCGUGGU
rfam:Pseudomonas putida KT2440 complete genome.